UAGCUCAGUUGGUAAAGCAUCUGCCUGCAAUGCAGGAGACCUGGGUUCGAUCCCUG
rnacentral:tRNA from 1 species